UUGGUUAAGUUAGAAAGGGCGCACGGUGGAUGCCUUGGCACUAGGAGCCGAAGAAGGACGGGACUAACACCGAUAUGCUUUGGGGAGCUGUACGUAAGCGUUGAUCCAGAGAUUUCCGAAUGGGGGAACCCACUAUCUUUAGUCGGAUAGUAUCCUUACGUGAAUACAUAGCGUGAGGAAGGCAGACCCAGGGAACUGAAACAUCUAAGUACCUGGAGGAAGAGAAAGAAAAAUCGAUUUCCUGAGUAGCGGCGAGCGAAACGGAAAGAGCCCAAACCAAGAAGCUUGCUUCUUGGGGUUGUAGGACACUCUAUACGGAGUUACAAAAGAAAGUUAUAAAUGAAGCGGUCUGGAAAGGCCCGCCAAAGACGGUAACAGCCCGGUAGUUGAAAUGGCUUUCCCUCCAGAGUGGAUCCUGAGUACGGCGGAACACGUGAAAUUCCGUCGGAAUCCGGGAGGACCAUCUCCCAAGGCUAAAUACUCCCUAGUGACCGAUAGUGAACCAGUACCGUGAGGGAAAGGUGAAAAGCACCCCGGAAGGGGAGUGAAACAGUUCCUGAAACCGUGUGCCUACAAGUAGUUAGAGCCCGUUAAUGGGUGAUAGCGUGCCUUUUGUAGAAUGAACCGGCGAGUUACGAUUUGUUGCAAGGUUAAGCGGAAAAAGCGGAGCCGUAGCGAAAGCGAGUCUGAAUAGGGCGCAUAAGUAACAGGUCGUAGACCCGAAACCAGGUGAUCUACCCAUGUCCAGGAUGAAGGUAAGGUAAUACUUACUGGAGGUCCGAACCCACGCACGUUGAAAAGUGCGGGGAUGAGGUGUGGGUAGCGGAGAAAUUCCAAUCGAACUUGGAGAUAGCUGGUUCUCUCCGAAAUAGCUUUAGGGCUAGCCUCGAGGUAAAGAGUCAUGGAGGUAGAGCACUGUUUGGACUAGGGGCCCUUCUCGGGUUACCGAAUUCAGAUAAACUCCGAAUGCCAUGUACUUAUACUCGGGAGUCAGACUGCGAGUGAUAAGAUCCGUAGUCGAAAGGGAAACAGCCCAGACCACCAGUUAAGGUCCCCAAAUAUAUGUUAAGUGGAAAAGGAUGUGGGGUUGCUUAGACAACCAGGAUGUUGGCUUAGAAGCAGCCACCAUUGAAAGAGUGCGUAAUAGCUCACUGGUCGAGUGACCCCGCGCCGAAAAUGUACCGGGGCUAAACAUAUUACCGAAACUGUGGAUGAACCUCUUUAGAGGUUCGUGGUAGGAGAGCGUUCUAAGGGCGGUGAAGUCAGACCGGAAGGACUGGUGGAGCGCUUAGAAGUGAGAAUGCCGGUAUGAGUAGCGAAAGAAGGGUGAGAAUCCCUUCCACCGAAUAUCU
rnacentral:rRNA from 1 species